rnacentral:rRNA from 1 species
AUUAGGAAUCUUGUGCAAUGGGCGAAAGCCUGACACAGCGACGCCGCGUGAGGGAGGACGGCCUUCGGGUUGUAAACCUCUUUUGACGUGGAAGAAACAAAUGACGGUACACGUCGAAUAAGCCCCGGCUAACUCCGUGCCAGCAGCCGCGGUAAUACGGAGGGGGCGAGCGUUGUCCGAAGUUACUGGGCGUAAAGCGCGCGUAGGCGGGUAGACAAGUCCGCUGUGAAAGCCCGGUGCUUAACACCGGAGGGUCGGUGGAUACUGUUUGCCUUGAAGGUGCUAGGGAGAGGUGGAAUUACCGGUGUAGCGGUGAAAUGCGUAGAGAUCGGUAGGAACACCAGUGGCGAAGGCGGCCUCUUGGAGCACUCUUGACGCUGAGGCGCGAAAGCUGGGGGAGCGAACGG